rnacentral:lncRNA from 1 species
GAGGUGGAGGCUGACCUACGAGGCUGAAUGAACGAGUCUGUGAAGGAUUCUGCCAAGCAGCCAGAGGGAGGAGAACACGGAAGGCUUUUAAGGAGUGAGACCAACACUACUAGGACGCCCCACUGGACUCAGACGAGAUGAGGCUGGAGACACAGCCACUGGAUGAGCAGUCCUGGGCACAGGUAGCCCAGUAGGACUGAGAACCAGCCGGCGCCCACCUGUGCAGACCCAACUAACCAUCAGGCUGCCCGCAGACACAAGGAGGAUGGCUUCCCGCACGUCCACCUGCUUCAGCACUCCUCCAGAAGGAGCCGUCCUUGUCCUAACUAUGGAAAUGAAGGGAACAGAGACCUCCUGGCCCAGCAACAGAGUCUGGAAAGAGGACUGGUGACAAGGAUGGCACUUGGGCCCUUUGAGGGAGGCUGACUGAGAACCAGGGAAGAUGGUCCCAGGCGUUGGCCUCCCAGUCCUCUCCCAGAACAUGAGCCCGCUCGGUGAUGCCACACAGCAGAGCCACAAUGCCACUUCCAAGAACAGUUCCAACUGCUCAAGGAUGGAAGCACAGUCACGCACGCUGCCCAAGGCAACCUGAGGAUGCAUCACAUUCUCGGAUCCUCCCCGCCCCGACAUGUGAGUCAGGAUCCUGCGAGUGAGGUACAGGACACUGCAGGGAGAGAUCCAGCAAGCCCUGCCCCUCCUAUCCCUGCUCUGGAGCCAGGGGCAGUAGUGAGGCCCCUCCCCCAGACAAAUCCGGCCCCCUAUCACCUGCGAAUGUGUCCCCACCACCCCACUCCCACACCUAGUGCUACAGGUAGUGGAGUGAUCUAAGCAAUCUGGAGGCCAGACUUUAAUGCAAAUCAUACUACUCCAGUUAUUAAAUGUUUACAA